GGCCAGACUCCUACGGGAGGCAGCAGUGGGGGAUAUUGCACAAUGGGGGAAACCCUGAUGCAGCAACGCCGCGUGAGUGAAGAAGUAUUUCGGUAUGUAAAGCUCUAUCAGCAGGGAAGAGAAUGACGGUACCUGACUAAGAAGCCCCGGCUAACUACGUGCCAGCAGCCGCGGUAAUACGUAGGGGGCGAGCGUUAUCCGGAUUCACUGGGUGUAAAGGGAGCGUAGACGGCCAUGCAAGCCUGGAGUGAAAGCCCGGGGCCCAACCCCGGGACUGCUCUGGGAACUGUGCGGCUGGAGUGCGGGAGGGGCAGGCGGAAUUCCUGGUGUAGCGGUGAAAUGCGUAGAUAUCAGGAGGAACACCGGCGGCGAAGGCGGCCUGCUGGACCGCGACUGACGUUGAGGCUCGAAAGCGUGGGGAGCAAACAGGAUUAGAUACCCUAGUAC
rnacentral:rRNA from 1 species